CCUACGGGUGGCUGCAGUCGAGGAUCUUCGGCAAUGGGCGAAAGCCUGACCGAGCGACGCCGCGUGUGCGAUGAAGGCCUUCGGGUUGUAAAGCACUGUCGAGGGGGAUAAAAGCCCGAAAGGGCUUGAUUGAUCCCUGGAGGAAGCACGGGCUAAGUUCGUGCCAGCAGCCGCGGUAAGACGAACCGUGCGAACGUUGUUCGGAUUCACUGGGCUUAAAGGGCGCGUAGGCGGCUUGCCAAGUCUGGGGUGAAAUCUUUCGGCUCAACCGGAAAAGUGCCUGGGAUACUGGCAAGCUCGAGGGAAGUAGGGGCAUGUGGAACUUCUGGUGGAGCGGUGAAAUGCGUUGAUAUCAGAAGGAACGCCGGUGGCGAAAGCGACGUGCUGGACUUCUUCUGACGCUGAGGCGCGAAAGCUAGGGGAGCAAACGGGAUUAGAUA
rnacentral:rRNA from 1 species